GGAAAUUUCGAUUUUUUUUUAAAAAAAAUUAUGGGAUAAAAAGUGAUUCCGAGAAAUGGGGUUUUGUUUUUUGAGAUUGUAUGAACUGGGGAUGAUGGAUUCUUGGUGGUGAUUGAAUAAAAAUGGGAUCUUUAAUUAUUAGGGAUAAGAUUAAAGAUGCUCAUGUUCUUCUUUGAAUUUGUUUGUAUGCAAAGUUUUGAGCUUUUGGGUGUUUUCCCCCUAAUUUAGCUGGCAAAUAGUUGUAAUUGGUGGAAGUUGGAAAAGGAAAAGAAUUAAGAAGAAAUUGAUGUUCAUUUCAGUUUCUUUUUAUAUUUUGUAAGGAACGGAAUCACCGGUGUCGAGUGGAAUAGAUUUAGAGGGUUCUCAAAUAGUUAAAUGAGUAGCUGAUUUGAUGAAAUUUGUUUUGAUUGUAUAAGGUUUCACUUAGUUUUGCUAUAAAUCAUCGCAGAAUCAACCUGAUAAUAUGGCGGGGGAAAAGACUGGAAUUGCCAAGGAUGUAACUGAAUUGAUAGGUAACACUCCUUUGGUAUACCUGAAUAAUGUUGUGGAUGGGUGUGUUGCACGUGUUGCUGCCAAGCUGGAAAGCAUGGAGCCAUGCUCUAGUGUUAAGGAUAGGAUUGGUUAU
rnacentral:misc_RNA from 1 species